CUGAGGUCUGUCACUGAAGCCAGAGAACUUCAAGCCUCUGAAAGAAGUGUUGAUGGACUAAACAGAGGAAAAGUGCAGAUUAGGCUGGUGUGGGGAGAAAAAGCUCAAGCUGAGACACCCCCCUCACCCCGGGAAAUAUUUACAACACAGAGAAACAAAAGAGUAAAUGGCAGAUAACAAAGAGCUCCUGAGACCGAGAACAGCAAACCAAGCAACUCCAAAGAAAAAAAUAGCUUAAAAGCACAAAAGCUAAUUCUCAGAAAGAACACGGAAGGCAACAAGUUACAGAAAGAAUUUUGGACUCACUAAUAAAUGAGUAAAUAAGUAAAA